rnacentral:rRNA from 1 species
GAUGAACGCUGGCGGCGUGCUUAACACAUGCAAGUCGAACGGAGCACCCCUGAAGGAGUUUUCGGACAACGGAUGGGAAUGCUUAGUGGCGGACUGGUGAGUAACGCGUGAGGAACCUGCCUUCCAGAGGGGGACAACAGUUGGAAACGACUGCUAAUACCGCAUGAUGCGUUGGAGCCGCAUGACUCUGACGCCAAAGAUUUAUCGCUGGAAGAUGGCCUCGCGUCUGAUUAGCUAGUUGGUGAGGUAACGGCCCACCAAGGCGACGAUCAGUAGCCGGACUGAGAGGUUGGCCGGCCACAUUGGGACUGAGAUACGGCCCAG